rnacentral:rRNA from 1 species
UACGUAGGGUGCAAGCGUUGUCCGGAAUUAUUGGGCGUAAAGAGCUCGUAGGCGGUCUGUUGCGUCGGCUGUGAAAACCCGGGGCUCAACCCCGGGCCUGCAGCCGAUACGGGCAGACUAGAGUUCGGCAGGGGAGACUGGAAUUCCUGGUGUAGCGGUGAAAUGCGCAGAUAUCAGGAGGAACACCGGUGGCGAAGGCGGGUCUCCGGGCCGAUACUGACGCUGAGGAGCGAAAGCGUGGGGAGCGAACAGG